rnacentral:rRNA from 1 species
CAAUAGCGUAUAUUAAAGUUGUUGCAGUUAAAAAGCUCGUAGUUGGAUUUCUGGUUUGGUGCGCCUGGCCCGCCGCGGUUACGCGUGUGAGUGCUGGUUGCGCGCCUGCCAUCCUUCUGGAAAACGUCUCUACCCUUCACUGGGCCGGAUUCGCGCUCCAGAUCCUUUACUUUGAAAAAUUAGAGUGUUCAAAGCAGGCUUACGCUGUGAAUACAUUAGCAUGGAAUAAUAAUUUAGGACUUUGGUUCUAUUUUGUUGGUUUCUAGGACUGAAGUAAUGAUUGAUAGGGAUAGUUGGGGGUGCUAGUAUUCAGCGGCCAGAGGUGAAAUUCUUGGAUUCGCUGAAGACUAACUUAUGCGAAAGCAUUCACCAAGGAUGUCUUCUUUAAUCAAGAACGAAAGUUGGGGGAUCGAAGACGAUCAGAUACCAU